rnacentral:rRNA from 1 species
AUUGAACGCUGGCGGAAUGCUUUACACAUGCAAGUCGAGCGGCAGCGCGGGGCAACCUGGCGGCGAGCGGCGAACGGGUGAGAAAUGUAUCGGAACUUGUCCUGUCGUGGGGGAUAGCACGGUGAAAACCGGAUUAAUACCGUAUACGAUCGAGAGAUGAAAGUGGGGGACCGCAAGGCCGCACGCGAUAGGAGCUGGCGAUAGGUGAUUAGCUAGAUGGUGGGGUAAAGGCCCAUCCAGGGUUCGAUCAGUAGCUGAUCUGUGAGGAUGAUUAGCCACACUGGGACUGAGACACGGCCCAGACUCCUCCGGGAGGCAGCAGUGGGGAAUUUUGGACAAUGGGGGCAAGCCUGAUCCAGCCAUUCCGCGUGAGUGAAGAAGGCCUUCGGGUUGUAAAGCUCUUUUGUACGGGAAGAAACGGUUUCAACUAAUACUUGGGACUACUGACGGUACCGGAAGAAUAAGGACCGGCUAACUACGUGCCAGCCGCCGCAGUAAUAC